rnacentral:rRNA from 1 species
GACGAACGCUGGCGGCGUGCUUAACACAUGCAAGUCGAGCGGUAAGGCCCUUUCGGGGGUACACGAGCGGCGAACGGGUGAGUAACACGUGGGUGACCUGCCCUCAGCUCUGGGAUAAGCCUGGGAAACCGGGUCUAAUACCGGAUAUGACUCCAUGACGCAUGUUGUGGGGUGGAAAGCCUUGUGCGGCUGAGGAUGGGCCCGNGGCCUAUCAGCUUGUGGUGGGUGAUGGCCUACCAAGGCGACGACGGUAGCCGGCCUGAGAGGGCGACCGGCCACACUGGGACUGAGACAC